UCUUGUAUCUCGUAUCUGUGACCUAUUCGGUCGGUUCCUUGAUUUUUGUCGUUCGAUGACCGUUGAGGUCGGUGUACCCUGAGGGGUUGGAUUGUCGGCUAGUGGCUGACGGUAGUUCCAGAUUUCAGUGAUACAUGAUGUGACAUUCGUGUGACCUAUUGGUCGGUUAUUGAGUAUACUGUUAGUUGACAUCGAACAGUACUUGCAUACAUUUGAGAGGAUGUCGAGUUGUUCCAUCCUAGUUGACCUGAGUGGUCUAUUCUUGUGCUUCAUUACAGUUUGAUGACCUAUUGGUCGGUUAGCCCCGAGGGGCAGUGAUUGUCGGCUGGUUGCCGACGGUUGGCCAUUGAGCAUAUCAGCAUUGAUCGCCCGAGACUCGUUCGCAUUUCACG
rnacentral:lncRNA from 1 species